UUUCACCUGGAUUCACCUGGUCAGUCUAUGUCAUGGAAAAGAGCAUGUGUUCCUAAUGUUUUGUACACUCAGUUUAUAAUGUCCUUAUUCAGUCAUGAUUCUGAAAAGCAUAGGAUAUUACAGUUGUUGGGGUCUUGUUGAUGGGAUAGUCUCGAAUGGAUCUCAUCCAGGUUGUUGGGGUCUUGUUGAUGGGAUAGUCUCGAAUGGAUCUCGUCCAGGUUGUUGGGGUCUUGUUGAUAGGAUAGUCUCGAAUGGAUCUCGUCCGGGUUGUUGGGGUCUUGUUGAUGGGAUAGUCUUGAAUGGAUCUCAUCCAGGUUGUUGGGGUCUUGUUGAUGGGAUAGUCUCGAAUGGAUCUCGUCCGGGUUGUUGGGGUCUUGUUGAUGGGAUAGUCUCGAAUGGAUCUCGUCCGGGUUGUUGGGGUCUUGUUGAUGGGAUAGUCUCGAAUGGAUCUCGUCCGGGUUGUUGGGGUCUUGUUGAUAGGAUAGUCUCGAAUGGAUCUCGUCCGGGUUGUUGGGGUCUUGUUGAUAGGAUAGUCUCGAAUGGAUCUCGUCCGGGUUGUUGGGGUCUUGUUGAUAGGAUAGUCUCGAAUGGAUCUCAUCCGGGUUGUUGGGGUCUUGUUGAUGGGAUAGUCUCGAAUGGAUCUCGUCCGGGUUGUUGGGGUCUUGUUGAUAGGAUAGUCUCGAAUGGAUCUCGUCCGGGUUGUUGGCGUCUUGUUGAUGGGAUAGUCUCGAAUGGAUCUCGUCCGGGUUGUUCUCCAGUGUACAAUAGAACAGCGGAGAGGAGGAGGAGGAGGAGACGAGGAAGAUGAGGUUGUAGAGGUGGUUUAUUUAGCUCGUCUGCCUCUCUUCCUCUUUCCAGUCCCCGUGGAUUAGGGCCUGGUCCGGAACGAGCAGUACAUCCACAGCUGCCGACUCGUUGAAGUAGAAAUCCAAAUCCAAAUCGAGGUUAGUGAUCGCUGUUCUGAUGUCCAGAAGAUGUUUUCGGUUGUAGGAAAUGAUCUCGGAAACAUUAUGUAAAA